rnacentral:rRNA from 1 species
AGCCCAAGAUGGAAAUCUCCGUGCUUCGCGCGGCGAAUUGUAAUCUAUAGGGUCCAUGCUCACCGGGUGGUGGCGCCUAAGUGCCCUGGAACGGGCCGCCAGAGAGGGUGACAGCCCCGUCUAUGGUUCCGCCACCUAACGAGCUGGGCUUCAAAGAGUCGGGUUGUUUUGUAUUGCAGCCCUAAGUGGGAGAUAAACUUCUUCUAAGGCUAAAUAUAUGUGGGAAACCGAUAGCGAACAAGUACUGUGAAGGAAAGAUGAAAAGCACUUUGAAAAGAGAGUCAAAAGACCUGAAACCGUUGAGGAGGAAGCGGUAGAGAUGAAUUCUACGGCGAGGCACUGGGGAGGCGGCCUAACCAUGGCUGGUUAUUCGUACGUCAAAGGCGAUGGCUGGUCUUAGGGGAAGCCGGUGACUUGUGCGGCGUCGUGAGGCCGGAUGGGGUGGCGUCUCCACAGAGGUCUAUUGGGCCUGGCCUGGCUUGCCAGGCAGCCCAGUAGUGCCGGUGGAGGCGUGGCCUGAGGGUGCUUUGUGCGAUCCGGUCAAAAUGGUCUUUACCGACUCGUCUUGAAACACGAGCCAAGGAGUCUAACGUACGCGCGAGUGUGCCGGUGGAGAAACCGACACGCGUAAUGAAAGUGAUUGAUGCCAAGCGCAAGCAGCAGCAUCGACCGACCCUAAAUGUAUGGGAUUGAGUACGAGCGCGUCCGCUAGGACCCGAAAGAUGGUGAACUAUGCCUGCGUAGGGUGAAGCCAGGG